rnacentral:rRNA from 1 species
GAUGAACGCUAGCGGCAGGCCUAAUACAUGCAAGUCGAGGGGCAGCGGGAAUAGCAAUAUUUGCCGGCGACCGGCGCACGGGUGCGUAACACGUAUACAAUCUGCCCAUAUCAGGGGGAUAGCCCGGAGAAAUCCGGAUUAAUACCCCAUAAUAGUCGAGGAGGCAUCUUCUUGAUUUGAAAGCUACGGCGGAUAUGGAUGAGUAUGCGUCUGAUUAGUUAGUUGGUGAGGUAACGGCUCACCAAGACCACGAUCAGUAGGGGAUCUGAGAGGAUUAACCCCCCACACGGAUACUGAGACACGGAUCCGACUCCUACGGGAGGCAGCAGUAAGGAAUAUUGGACAAUGCCCGCAAGGGUGAUCCAGCCAUGCCGCGUGCAGGAAGAAGGCCCUAUGGGUCGUAAACUGCUUUUACACCGGAGAAAACCCCCCUUAGUGUAAGGGGCUGAUAGUAUGGUGAGAAUAAGCAUCGGCUAACUUCGUGCCAGCAGCCGCGGUAAU